UACAGAGGUCCCAAGCGUUGUUCGGAUUUACUGGGCGUAAAGGGUGCGUAGGUGGUUGGGUAAGUCUGAUGUGAAAUCUCCGGGCUCAACCCGGAAAUGGCAUUGGAAACUACCUUGCUGGAGGAUUUGAGGGGGGAUUGGAAUACUUGGUGUAGCAGUGAAAUGCGUAGAUAUCAAGUGGAACACCAGUGGCGAAGGCGAAUCCCUGGAAAAUACCUGACACUGAGGCACGAAAGCUAGGGGAGCAAACAGG
rnacentral:rRNA from 1 species